AGUGACGAUAGCCUAGGAGAUACACCUGUUCCCAUGCCGAACACAGAAGUUAAGCCCUAGUACGCCUGAUGUAGUUGGGGGUUGCCCCCCUGUUAGAUACGGUAGUCGCU
rnacentral:rRNA from 1 species